rnacentral:rRNA from 1 species
GGUAAGUCUGGGGCAGCGGCGGCGGUGUGAGGUGGGGGGCGAGGGUUGGCCGUAAUGAGUGUGGGUGAAGAGCGGGUAGGCGGUUCGGGGAGGCUGCCGUGAAAACCGGGGGCUCAACCCCGGGCGGGCGGUGGAUACUGCCGGGCUAGAGGGUGGUAGAGGCGAGUGGAAUUCCCGGGGUAGCGGGGAAAUGCGCAGAUAUCGGGAGGAACACCAGUGGCGAAGGCGACUCACUGGACACGUAUUGACGCUGAGGUGCGAAAGCGUGGGGAGCAAACAGGAUUAGAUACCCGAGUAGUC